rnacentral:rRNA from 1 species
AGACCCGAAACCCGGUGAUCUAGCCAUGGGCAGGUUGAAGGUUGGGUAACACUAACUGGAGGACCGAACCGACUAAUGUUGAAAAAUUAGCGGAUGACCUGUGGCUGGGGGUGAAAGGCCAAUCAAACCGGGAGAUAGCUGGUUCUCCCCGAAAGCUAUUUAGGUAGCGCCUCGUGAAUUCAUCUCCGGGGGUAGAGCACUGUUUCGGCUAGGGGGCCAUCCCGGCUUACCAACCCGAUGCAAACUGCGAAUACCGGAGAAUGUUAUCACGGGAGACACACGGCGGGUGCUAACGUCCGUCGUGAAGAGGGAAACAACCCAGACCGCCAGCUAAGGUCCCAAAGUCAUGGUUAAGUGGGAAACGAUGUGGGAAGGCCCAGACAGCCAGGAUGUUGGCUUAGAAGCAGCCAUCAUUUAAAGAAAGCGUAAUAGCUCACUGGUCGAGUCGGCCUGCGCGGAAGAUGUAACGGGGCUAAACCAUGCACCGAAGCUGCGGCAGCGACGCUGAUGCGUUGUUGGGUAGGGGAGCGUUCUGUAAGCCUGUGAAGGUGGCCUGUGAGGGUUGCUGGAGGUAUCAGAAGUGCGAAUGCUGACAUAAGUAACGAUAAA